UACGUAGGGGGCAAGCGUUAUCCGGAUUUACUGGGUGCAAAGGGGGCGCAGACGGCGAUGCAAGCCAGGAGUGAAAGCCCGGGGCCCAACCCCGGGACUGCUCUUGGAACUGCGUGGCUGGAGUGCAGGAGGGGCAGGCGGAAUUCCUGGUGUAGCGGUGAAAUGCGUAGAUAUCAGGAGGAACACCGGCGGCGAAGGCGGCCUGCUGGACCGUGACUGACGUUGAGGCUCGAGAGCGUGGGGAGCAAACAGG
rnacentral:rRNA from 1 species